AGUGAACGCUGGCGGUAGGCCUAACACAUGCAAGUCGAACGGCAGCACAGUAAGAGCUUGCUCUUACGGGUGGCGAGUGGCGGACGGGUGAGGAAUACAUCGGAAUCUACUUUUUCGUGGGGGAUAACGUAGGGAAACUUACGCUAAUACCGCAUACGACCUACGGGUGAAAGCAGGGGAGCUUCGGACCUUGCGCGAUUGAAUGAGCCGAUGUCGGAUUAGCUAGUUGGCGGGGUAAAGGCCCACCAAGGCGACGAUCCGUAGCUGGUCUGAGAGGAUGAUCAGCCACACUGGAACUGAGACACCGACAAGACUCCUACGGGAGGCAGCAGUCGGGAAUAUUGGACAAUGGGCGCAAGCCUGAUCCAGCCAUACCGCGUGGGUGAAGAAGGCCUUCGGGUUGUAAAGCCCUUUUGUUGGGAAAGAAAAGCAGCAGGUUAAUACCCCGCUGUUCUGACGGUACCCAAAGAAUAAGCACCGGCUAACUUCGUG
rnacentral:rRNA from 1 species